UCGGGCCCCAUGCAACGGCUGUCCGCGCGAACCCCGCCAGGUCGGGAACGAAGCAACGGCAGUGACGGACUCCGUGUGCCGUGGGUAGCCUGGC
rnacentral:SRP_RNA from 1 species